rnacentral:rRNA from 1 species
GGGGAAUAUUGCACAAUGGGCGAAAGCCUGAUGCAGCGACGCCGCGUGAGGGAUGACGGCCUUCGGGUUGUAAACCUCUUUCAGCAGGGAAGAAGCGAAAGUGACGGUACCUGCAGAAGAAGCACCGGCUAACUCCGUGCCAGCAGCCGCGGUAAUACGGAGGGUGCAAGCGUUAAUCGGAAUUACUGGGCGUAAAGCGCACGCAGGCGGUCUGUCAAGUCGGAUGUGAAAUCCCCGGGCUCAACCUGGGAACUGCAUUCGAAACUGGCAGGCUUGAGUCUCGUAGAGGGGGGUAGAAUUCCAGGUGUAGCGGUGAAAUGCGUAGAGAUCUGGAGGAAUACCGGUGGCGAAGGCGGCCCCCUGGACGAAGACUGACGCUCAGGUGCGAAAGCGUGGGGAGCAAACA